GAUCCUGGCUCAGGAUGAACGCUAGCUACAGGCUUAACACAUGCAAGUCGAGGGGCAGCAUGUUGGUUGCUUGCAACCAAUGAUGGCGACCGGCGCACGGGUGAGUAACGCGUAUCCAACCUACCCUUGUCCAUCGGAUAACCCGUCGAAAGGCGGCCUAACACGAUAUGCGGUUCACAGCAGGCAUCUAACGUGAACGAAAUGUAAAGGAGAAGGAUGGGAUGCGU
rnacentral:rRNA from 1 species